rnacentral:tRNA from 1 species
GGGCGCUUAGCUCAGCGGGAGAGUACUUCCCUGACGCGGAAGGGGUCACUGGUUCGAACCCAGUAGCGCCCACCA